rnacentral:rRNA from 1 species
AUUGAACGCUGGCGGCAGGCCUAACACAUGCAAGUCGAGCGGAUGAAGGGAGCUUGCUCCUGGAUUCAGCGGCGGACGGGUGAGUAAUGCCUAGGAAUCUGCCUGGUAGUGGGGGAUAACGUCCGGAAACGGGCGCUAAUACCGCAUACGUCCUGAGGGAGAAAGUGGGGGAUCUUCGGACCUCACGCUAUCAGAUGAGCCUAGGUCGGACUAGCUAGUUGGUGGGGUAAAGGCCUACCAAGGCGACGAUCCGUAACUGGUCUGAGAGGAGGAUCAGUCACACUGGAACUGGGACACGGUCCAGACUCCUACGGGAGGCAGCAGUGGGGAAUAUUGGACAGUGGGCGAAAGCCUGAUCCAGCCAUGCCGCGUGUGUGAAGAAGGUCUUCGGAUUGUAAAGCACGUUAAGUUGGGAGGAAGGGCAGUAAGUUAAUACCUUGCUGUUUUGACGUUACCAACAGAAUAAGCACCGGCUAACUUCGUG